GAUGAACGCUGGCGGCGUGCCUAAUACAUGCAAGUCGAGCGAACGGACGAGAAGCUUGCUUCUCUGAUGUUAGCGGCGGACGGGUGAGUAACACGUGGAUAACCUACCUAUAAGACUGGGAUAACUUCGGGAAACCGGAGCUAAUACCGGAUAAUAUUUUGAACCGCAUGGUUCAAAAGUGAAAGACGGUCUUGCUGUCACUUAUAGAUGGAUCCGCGCUGCAUUAGCUAGUUGGUAAGGUAACGGCUUACCAAGGCAACGAUGCCUAGCCGACCUGAGAGGGUGAUCGGCCACACUGGAACUGAGACACGGUCCAGACUCCUACGGGAGGCAGCAGUAGGGAAUCUUCCGCAAUGGGCGAAAGCCUGACGGAACAACGCCGCGUGAGUGAUGAAGGUCUUCGGAUCGUAAAACUCUGUUAUUAGGGAAGAACAUAUGUGUAAGUAACUGUGCACAUCUUGACGGUACCUAAUCAGAAAGCCACGGCUAACUACGUG
rnacentral:rRNA from 1 species